CUCCAGAGAAUGAGCUGAAAACUUACUUCCCAAUCAUUGGUUCUCCAUUCCUACCUAUGGUAUCUUGGACACCCUUGCAGAAGAUAACUUCCUGGGAACUACCUGGGAGUGAAUGAUACCUGUAAAUCCCUGAAACGAGAUCCCUUAGAGAAAGAGCCUCUUCACCUACCUAUUAUCCAAGAGCCACCCACUGAAGGUGAUGACCACACCGAUGAGGUGGAUUUGUUACAGUUGGUGCCAUUACUUCUACCACCAGCUUCACCAAAACAAUGACACAGUCUUCCUUGUGCAUGGAGACUCUUCUCUUUCCUGUGUUGCGGUGGAUACCUCCUGCAGAUAAGAAAUGCUUAACUGAGAAAUGCUCAUGUUGGGAUAUCAUCGAUGAGACUUUAAUUUGGGCAUGGUGACUGUUUCCCUUGCUGCCACUUGACUCAAUCCCAGGAGCCUCAGUAGAGGAAAUAAUAUUACACAAGAUGCUCAAAAUGGUGGAAUUGCUCAGUGCUCCCAUAAAUAUACUUUAAUAAUUUUUAUUUGCCACGUGGUAAAUUAAAAAAAAUAGGAUAUAUUAUAAAGAAACACUGCAUGUUUUUUUCAAAAAUUCAAAGUAUAUUUAAAUAACUAAUAUAUAAAUUAAGUGCCCUCCUCUGUUCCAAUUCUGUCCCUAUAGUUUUCCUCUAUUAAGGGAGUUAUGUGCAUUCUUUUAGUGGAUAGAUGCACACAAACACAUGCACAAGCUAUUUUGGGGGGAAUCUGGAAGUGUGGCCAUAUUGUAAUGCAUUCUUCUGCAAAUUGCCUCUUUCAUUUAAUAGUUUUUUCAAUGGCCUUUUUUCAGUAAUAUAUACACAUCUGUUUCUUUUGUUGAAUAAUGGCAUGACUGUUUUGUCGAUAAAAUUUAAUUAAAUGUUUUAAGCAUUUCUCGUUCAUAGAUAUUUAUGUUAGCACCAAAUUUCUGUGCAAUGAACCUCCCUUUAUAUCAAUAAUUUUGCAUUUGUCUAUUAUAGAAUAAUAAAUUACUUAGAAGUUCAAUUAUUGGGAUUAGGUAUAUUCAUAUUUCAAAUUUUGAAAAUAAUUGCAAGAUUUCCUUUAAAAUGUGGUUAGCAACUUUAUCCUCAAAUGGCAAUGAAUGAGGUUGCCAACUUUUUCACAACCUCACAGACAAUGGAU